UAUCUGCUUUUCAUUAAAGUGUUUCUCCCAAGCAUCAAGCUAACUCCUAUACUUACAUUCAUUUCAAAAUUCUCAGUGCUGCUGGGCAACUGUAUACGUUGUGUAAAAAUACAUUCCUCUGUCGUCUUCUGACCCAGGAGAUACAUCGCUAACAGAUUACGAAUCGAAGAUGAAGAUCCACACCUUGACUGAGGCUGCCUUUUUUAAUGAGUUAAAGGAAAGCGCUGGACCUCUCCAGAAUGCUCUACAUGUUGCCAGAGAAGUUUUGUAACAGCUGAAGAGCUACUUUGUCAUUAAGUGGAGUAUCAGCCAUGAAACAUAGACAUAGACAUAUUAGACACAUUCAGAAUACAAAACUCCCAGCAACUAACAAUCUUAGUAAUAAUAUGAUGG
rnacentral:lncRNA from 1 species